GUCAACGGCCAUACCACGUUGAAAUCACCGGUUCUCGUCCGAUCACCGAAGUUAAACAACGUCGGGCGUAGUUAGUACUUAAAUGGGAGACCGCUUGGGAACUCUGCGUGCUGUUGACU
rnacentral:rRNA from 1 species